GCCAUUGUGUGAAUAGACCUGAAGGCAAGAUGACGCUCUGAUUUCGCUCCUCCUGGCUCUCCUGCAGCGCCCACGGACACCAACUAGACGGCAGAAGACACCCAAGACCCUCUACUAACAUCCUAUAUCGGCGGGGGAAGAUAAUAGGCGAGGAGGAGGUGAGAAAGAGGCAAAAUAUGAGAAGCGAGGGGUCAUCCUUGGCGAGGGCGUAGGGGAAGUCCACUCGACAGCCGGGCAGUGCCGCCUCAAGCUCCCUCACCACAGCAUCCUUGUCCUGUAUCUCCGGCAGGUCGUACAGCAGAAGGGGAGUGAGUGACAGCCCAAGAGAUAGUGAGGAGAGAAGAAAACACAGCUCGACAUACAUUCGUUAGUGGACUUAUGCAGAGAGGGAGCAAAGAAAAAAAGAAGAGGAGAAGAAAGAAGAGAAGAAAGAACAAAGAGAACAUAGCAAGCAAGAUACAUUCCAUACUGGACUUCUGCAGAUGGUAUAAUAUUUCUUCUUUCUCUUUUUAUCUAUCUGCAGAAGUCCUAAUGAACUAUUGCUGAAAGAGAGAGGGAUAUAAGUAAUUCUCUCUCUCUCUCUUCUCUCUUCUC